GGACGAACGCUGGCGGCGUGCUUAACACAUGCAAGUCGAGCGGUAAGGCCCUUUCGGGGUACACGAGCGGCGAACGGGUGAGUAACACGUGGGUGACCUGCCCUCAGCUCUGGGAUAAGCCUGGGAAACCGGGUCUAAUACUGGAUAUGACUCCAUGACGCAUGUUGUGGGGUGGAAAGCCUUGUGCGGCUGAGGAUGGGCCCGNGGCCUAUCAGCUUGUUGGUGGGUGANGGCCUACCAAGGCGACGACGGGUAGCCGGCCUGAGAGGGCGACCGGCCACACUGGGACUGAGACACGGGCCCAGACUCCUACGGGAGGCAGCAGUGGGGAAUCUUGCGCAAUGGGC
rnacentral:rRNA from 1 species